rnacentral:rRNA from 1 species
GACAGAGGGUGCAAACGUUGUUCGGAAUUACUGGGCGUAAAGCGUGUGUAGGUGGCUGCGUAAGUCGGAUGUGAAAGCCCUGGGCUCAACUCAGGAAGUGCACUCGAUACUGCGUAGCUCGAGUACCGGAGAGGUUGGUAGAAUUCUCGGUGUAAAGGUGAAAUUCGUAGAUAUCGAGAGGAAUACCUGUGGCGAAGGCGGCCAACUGGACGAGUACUGACACUGAGACACGAAAGCGUGGGGAGCAAACAGG